UGUGAGAUGGAGAGCCAGAACGAGGAGUACAAGAUGCUGCUGGGCAUCAAGACCCGCCUGGAGCAGGAGAUCCAGCAGUACCGGGCACUGCUGGAGGAGGGACAGCAGGAUCUUGUGUACGUAUUGACAGAGCACAGCACUGUGUGACCCCCGACUGCUGCUCAGUCACCGGCAGGAAAUGGAACAGUCGAGAAUUGCAAAACAGAUUUUGUACUGAAAUGAGGCAGAUGCAGCUGGCUUGGCCGAUCUCCUUCUGGAGUGAGAUAUUUUAUUCUGUUCAGAAUAUAAUUCAUGUGAAGAAAACCCAAUGCAGAAAUUCUGAACCACCAGUUUGGUGUUGGACCUAUGUAAGAGAGCCUGGUUCCAAGCUUCCAGAAAAGACUGUAAGCAAAAAAAAAAAACCCACCAAAAAAACAACCAAAAAACAACAACAAAAAACAACCAAAAAACCCCCAACAAACCCAAACCAACCAAAGUUUUCCAAACCUUUAUAAAGUUCCUGAAAGUUCAAGCUACUUCAGCCUCACUUAUGCACUGUGCCAGCUUCUUCUUGGAAAUGGUGCCUGAAACAGCAGCUGAAGUUUCAUUCUCUUCUUUCUUUUGAUUUUGAGUCACACACUGAUGUUUGUGCCAAAUAUUGCAAGGAAUCCCUAGGCAGAAUGUGGGAAGAGCAAAAGCUCUUGCAUUCAAGUUGAAAUUGAAAGACAGGAUAAUUUUUGGCACUGCCUCAGUUGUUUUGCUGUGCAGUGCUGGGUUCUAACCGGCAGUACGACCCACAGACGUCCUGAUUCCUGGGCAGCAGCUGUAGCUUAAUGGCCUUCAGAGCAAAGAGCUCUUGAUUAACUUUUUUUUCCCCUUCUUUCUCUCUCUUUGCAGAAUCCCAGGAGGAGGAAUGGGAGGAGGCAUGGGAGGAGGCAUGGGAGGUGGUAGAAUUGGAGGCGGUGGUUACUCUGGGGGAGGAAGAGGAGGAGGUGGUGGCAUGAGUGGUGGAUAUGGAGGUGGUAGCAGCGGAAUGGGAGGAGGAAUGGGAGGAGGAAGUUGUGGAGGAGGAAUGGGAGGAGGAAGUGGAGGAGGAGGAAUGGGAGGAGGAAGUGGAGGAAUGGGAGGGGGCAGCAGUGGUGGAUGCAUUGGAGGAGGAGGAGGAGGAAGAACCUCAGGAGGCAUCAGCAGUUCCCACUCCUACUCCUCAUCUUCCCAGUCCCAGUCCUGCAGGAGCGGUGGUGAAAGCCAAGGAUAUGGAAGAAAAUCUUUUGACUAAGAAUAUACAUCAAGGAUCCUUCAGAGCAAGACCUUUCGAAAUGAAACUGGCCCAAAUCCGCUGCAUUCCCCACACUCCCAAGGAAAGAUGAUGCUCUGAACAGUUCCUGGGAGUUGCAGAUGCCACCUCUCCCCCUGCCCUGCAUGUUCUGUGCUGCUUCUGCCCACAAAGCUCUGCAGCUUUGGUCAUUGCCACUCAAACUGCUGCUUUACAGAUCCAACCUGUUUGGUACUCAAAUUGCUCUGAAUGAGGAAAAUAUCUCUAAUAAAAUUUCAUUUCUGUCUGAUGCA
ensembl:lncRNA